GGGAUAACAGGCUGAUACCGCCCAAGAGUUCAUAUCGACGGCGGUGUUUGGCACCUCGAUGUCGGCUCAUCACAGUCCUGGGGCUGAAGUAGGUCCCAAGGGUAUGGCUGUUCGCCAUUUAAAGUGGUACGCGAGCUGGGUUUAGAACGUCGUGAGACAGUUCGGUCCCUAUCUGCCGUGGGCGGCUGGAGAACUGAGGGGGGGCUGCUCCUAGUACGAGAGGACCGGAGUGGACGCAUCACUGGUGUUCGGGUUGUCAUGCCAAUGGCACUGCCCGGUAGCUAAAUGCGGAAGAGAUAAGUGCUGAAAGCAUCUAAGCACGAAACUUGCCCCGAGAUGAGUUCUCCCUGAGACUUAGAGUCUCCUGAAGGAACGUUGAAGACGACGACGUUGAUAGGCCGGGUGUGUAAGCGCAGCGAUGCGUUGAGCUAACCGGUACUAAUGAACCGUGAGGCUUAACCUUACAACGCCGAAG
rnacentral:rRNA from 1 species